rnacentral:rRNA from 1 species
GAUGAACGCUGGCGGCGUGCCUAAUACAUGCAAGUCGAGCGAACGGACGAGAAGCUUGCUUCUCUGAUGUUAGCGGCGGACGGGUGAGUAACACGUGGAUAACCUACCUAUAAGACUGUGAUAACUUCGGGAAACCGGUGCUAAUACCGGAUAAUAUUUUGAACCGCAUGGUUCAAAAGUGAAAGACGGUCUUGCUGUCACUUAUAGAUGGAUCCGCGCUGCAUUAGCUAGUUGGUAAGGUAACGGCUUACCAAGGCAACGAUGCAUAGCCGACCUGAGAGGGUGAUCGGCCACACUGGAACUGAGACACGGUCCAGACUCCUACGGGAGGCAGCAGUAGGGAAUCUUCCGCAAAGGGCGAAAGCCUGACGGAGCAACGCCGCGUGAGUGAUGAAGGUCUUCGGAUCGUAAAACUCUGUUAUUAGGGAAGAACAUAUGUGUAAGUAACUGUGCACAUCUUGACGGUACCUAAUCAGAAAGCCACGGCUAACUACGUG